AUACUUAUUAUUAAUCAAAACACC
rnacentral:sRNA from 1 species